GGUUUUUAAUGUUCUCAUAAUUUUACCUUGCAGCUUCAACAGAUUGUUAGUGCAUGGGCUUUGCCAAUUUCUGGGCUUAACGUCAAACACUGUGAAUCACCAUGGAAAACGCCUCAUGGAGAUUGCAAACAAGCAAAAAUCGUUCAGAGUGCCAUCACUUCUUCUUUCUGAUUUUUUGGAGCAGUUCAGAUAGCACAAUGGCCAAAGUCUGAGAGUGUGACAACUAACAUACUUCGAUAUUAUAAUAACUGUGUUAUUGGUCUGGAAAAAGAGUAAAAAAUUACUUUUGUCAGAA